GGCGAACGGGUGAGUAACACGUGGGCAAUCUGCCCUUCACUCUGGGACAAGCCCUGGAAACGGGGUCUAAUACCGGAUAACACUCUGUCCCGCAUGGGACGGGGUUAAAAGCUCCGGCGGUGAAGGAUGAGCCCGCGGCCUAUCAGCUUGUUGGUGGGGUGAUGGCCUACCAAGGCGACGACGGGUAGCCGGCCUGAGAGGGCGACCGGCCACACUGGGACUGAGACACGGCCCAGACUCCUACGGGAGGCAGCAGUGGGGAAUAUUGCACAAUGGGCGAAAGCCUGAUGCAGCGACGCCGCGUGAGGGAUGACGGCCUUCGGGUUGUAAACCUCUUUCAGCAGGGAAGAAGCGAGAGUGACGGUACCUGCAGAAGAAGCGCCGGCUAACUACGUGCCAGCAGCCGCGGUAAUACGUAGGGCGCAAGCGUUGUCCGGAAUUAUUGGGCGUAAAGAGCUCGUAGGCGGCUUGUUGCGUCGGUUGUGAAAGCCCGGGGCUUAACCCCGGGUCUGCAGUCGAUACGGGCAGGCUAGAGUGUGGUAGGGGAGAUCGGAAUUCCUGGUGUAGCGGUGAAAUGCGCAGAUAUCAGGAGGAACACCGGUGGCGAAGGCGGAUCUCUGGGCCAUUACUGACGCUGAGGAGCGAAAGCGUGGGGAGCGAACAGGAUUAGAUACCCUGGUAGUCCACGCCGUAAACGUUGGGAACUAGGUGUUGGCGACAUUCCACGUCGUCGGUGCCGCAGCUAACGCAUUAAGUUCCCCGCCUGGGGAGUACGGCCGCAAGGCUAAAACUCAAAGGAAUUGACGGGGGCCC
rnacentral:rRNA from 1 species